CGGGAUGUGGCGCAGCUUGGUAGCGCACCUGACUGGGGGUCAGGGGGUCGCAGGUUCAAAUCCUGUCAUCCCGACUA
rnacentral:tRNA from 1 species